rnacentral:lncRNA from 1 species
UUCAAGAAGGCAUACCAAAAGUUAGCCAAAGAAUACCAUCCUGAUAAGAAUCCAAAUGCUGGAGAUAAAUUUAAAGAAAUGUUUUGCCUAUGAAGUAUUGUCAAAUCCAGAGAGGCAGGAGCUAUAUGACAGAUAUGGAGAACAAGGUCUACAGGAAGGCAGCGGCGGGGGGGGGGGGGGUGGCAGCAUGGAUGAUAUUUUCUCACAUAUUUUUGGUGGAGGAUUGUUUGGCUUCAUGGGCAAUCAAAGUAGAAUUGAAGAAGAGGCGAGGACAUGAUGCAUCCACUGAAAGUAUCUUUAGAAGACCUGUAUAAUGGCAAGACAACCAAACUACAACUCAGCAAGAAUGUGCUGUGUAGCGCAUGCAGUGGCCAAGGUGGAAAGUCUGGACCUGUUCAGAAAUUCAGUGCUUGUCCGGGUCGAGGUGUCCGCAUUAUGAUAAGACAGCUGGCUCCAGGGAUGGUAUAGCAGAUCCAGUCUGUGUGCUCUGACUAUAAUGAAGAAGGGGAGGUCAUCAAUGAAAAAGACCGCUGUAAAAAAUGUGAAGGGAAG